rnacentral:rRNA from 1 species
UUAAGUUAUUAAGGGCGCACGGUGGAUGCCUUGGCACUAGAAGCCGAUGAAGGACGUUACUAACGACGAUAUGCUUUGGGGAGCUGUAAGUAAGCUUUGAUCCAGAGAUUUCCGAAUGGGGAAACCCAGCAUGAGUUAUGUCAUGUUAUCGAUAUGUGAAUACAUAGCAUAUCAGAAGGCACACCCGGAGAACUGAAACAUCUUAGUACCCGGAGGAAGAGAAAGAAAAUUCGAUUCCCUUAGUAGCGGCGAGCGAAACGGGAAGAGCCCAAACCAACAAGCUUGCUUGUUGGGGUUGUAGGACACUCUGUACGGAGUUACAAAGGACGACAUUAGACGAAUCAUCUGGAAAGAUGAAUCAAAGAAGGUAAUAAUCCUGUAGUCGAAAAUGUUGUCUCUCUUGAGUGGAUCCUGAGUACGACGGAGCACGUGAAAUUCCGUCGGAAUCUGGGAGGACCAUCUCCUAAGGCUAAAUACUCUCUAGUGACCGAUAGUGAACCAGUACCGUGAGGGAAAGGUGAAAAGCACCCCGGAAGGGGAGUGAAAUAGAACCUGAAACCGUGUGCUUACAAGUAGUCAGAGCCCGUUAAUGGGUGAUGGCGUGCCUUUUGUAGAAUGAACCGGCGAGUUACGAUUUGAUGCAAGGUUAAGCAGUAAAUGUGGAGCCGUAGCGAAAGCGAGUCUGAAUAGGGCGUUUAGUAUUUGGUCGUAGACCCGAAACCAGGUGAUCUACCCUUGGUCAGGUUGAAGUUCAGGUAACACUGAAUGGAGGACCGAACCGACUUACGUUGAAAAGUGAGCGGAUGAACUGAGGGUAGCGGAGAAAUUCCAAUCGAACCUGGAGAUAGCUGGUUCUCUCCGAAAUAGCUUUAGGGCUAGCCUCAAGUGAUGAUUAUUGGAGGUAGAGCACUGUUUGGACGAGGGGCCCCUCUCGGGUUACCGAAUUCAGACAAACUCCGAAUGCCAAUUAAUUUAACUUGGGAGUCAGAACAUGGGUGAUAAGGUCCGUGUUCGAAAGGGAAACAGCCCAGACCACCAGCUAAGGUCCCAAAAUAUAUGUUAAGUGGAAAAGGAUGUGGCGUUGCCCAGACAACUAGGAUGUUGGCUUAGAAGCAGCCAUCAUUUAAAGAGUGCGUAAUAGCUCACUAGUCGAGUGACACUGCGCCGAAAAUGUACCGGGGCUAAACAUAUUACCGAAGCUGUGGAUUGUCCUUUGGACAAUGGUAGGAGAGCGUUCUAAGGGCGUUGAAGCAUGAUCGUAAGGACAUGUGGAGCGCUUAGAAGUGAGAAUGCCGGUGUGAGUAGCGAAAGACGGGUGAGAAUCCCGUCCACCGAUUGACUAAGGUUUCCAGAGGAAGGCUCGUCCGCUCUGGGUUAGUCGGGUCCUAAGCUGAGGCCGACAGGCGUAGGCGAUGGAUAACAGGUUGAUAUUCCUGUACCACCUAUAAUCGUUUUAAUCGAUGGGGGGACGCAGUAGGAUAGGCGAAGCGUGCGAUUGGAUUGCACGUCUAAGCAGUAAGGCUGAGUAUUAGGCAAAUCCGGUACUCGUUAAGGCUGAGCUGUGAUGGGGAGAAGACAUUGUGUCUUCGAGUCGUUGAUUUCACACUGCCGAGAAAAGCCUCUAGAUAGAAAAUAGGUGCCCGUACCGCAAACCGACACAGGUAGUCAAGAUGAGAAUUCUAAGGUGAGCGAGCGAACUCUCGUUAAGGAACUCGGCAAAAUGACCCCGUAACUUCGGGAGAAGGGGUGCUCUUUAGGGUUAACGCCCAGAAGAGCCGCAGUGAAUAGGCCCAAGCGACUGUUUAUCAAAAACACAGGUCUCUGCUAAACCGUAAGGUGAUGUAUAGGGGCUGACGCCUGCCCGGUGCUGGAAGGUUAAGAGGAGUGGUUAGCUUCUGCGAAGCUACGAAUCGAAGCCCCAGUAAACGGCGGCCGUAACUAUAACGGUCCUAAGGUAGCGAAAUUCCUUGUCGGGUAAGUUCCGACCCGCACGAAAGGCGUAACGAUUUGGGCACUGUCUCAACGAGAGACUCGGUGAAAUCAUAGUACCUGUGAAGAUGCAGGUUACCCGCGACAGGACGGAAAGACCCCGUGGAGCUUUACUGUAGCCUGAUAUUGAAAUUCGGCACAGCUUGUACAGGAUAGGUAGGAGCCUUUGAAACGUGAGCGCUAGCUUACGUGGAGGCGCUGGUGGGAUACUACCCUAGCUGUGUUGGCUUUCUAACCCGCACCACUUAUCGUGGUGGGAGACAGUGUCAGGCGGGCAGUUUGACUGGGGCGGUCGCCUCCUAAAAGGUAACGGAGGCGCUCAAAGGUUCCCUCAGAAUGGUUGGAAAUCAUUCAUAGAGUGUAAAGGCAUAAGGGAGCUUGACUGCGAGACCUACAAGUCGAGCAGGGUCGAAAGACGGACUUAGUGAUCCGGUGGUUCCGUAUGGAAGGGCCAUCGCUCAACGGAUAAAAGCUACCCCGGGGAUAACAGGCUUAUCUCCCCCAAGAGUUCACAUCGACGGGGAGGUUUGGCACCUCGAUGUCGGCUCAUCGCAUCCUGGGGCUGUAGUCGGUCCCAAGGGUUGGGCUGUUCGCCCAUUAAAGCGGUACGCGAGCUGGGUUCAGAACGUCGUGAGACAGUUCGGUCCCUAUCCGUCGUGGGCGUAGGAAAUUUGAGAGGAGCUGUCCUUAGUACGAGAGGACCGGGAUGGACAUACCUCUGGUGUACCAGUUGUCGUGCCAACGGCAUAGCUGGGUAGCUAUGUGUGGACGGGAUAAGUGCUGAAAGCAUCUAAGCAUGAAGCCCCCCUCAAGAUGAGAUUUCCCAACUUCGGUUAUAAGAUCCCUCAAAGAUGAUGAGGUUAAUAGGUUCGAGGUGGAAGCAUGGUGACAUGUGGAGCUGACGAAUACUAAUCGAUCGAAGACUUAAUCAA